GGGUGAGUAAUGCAUAGGAAUCUGCCUUGAAGUGGGGGACAACCUGGGGAAACUCAGGCUAAUACCGCGUAAUCUCUACGGAGGAAAGCUGGGGACCGUAAGGCCUGGCGCUUUAAGAUGAGCCUAUGUCAGAUUAGCUAGUUGGUGGGGUAAUGGCUCACCAAGGCGACGAUCUGUAGCUGUUCUGAGAGGAUGAUCAGCCACACUGGGACUGAGACACGGCCCAGACUCC
rnacentral:rRNA from 1 species